rnacentral:rRNA from 3 species
GGGUUGUGAGGUUAAGCGACUAAGCGUACACGGUGGAUGCCCUGGCAGUCAGAGGCGAUGAAGGGCGUGCUAAUCUGCGAUAAGCGCCGGUAAGGUGAUAUGAACCGUUAUAACCGGCGAUACCCGAAUGGGGAAACCCAGUGUGAUUCGUCACACUAUCAUUACGUGAAUACAUAGCGUAAUGAAGCGAACCGGGGGAACUGAAACAUCUAAGUACCCCGAGGAAAAGAAAUCAACCGAGAUUCCCCCAGUAGCGGCGAGCGAACGGGGAGGAGCCCAGAGCCUGAAUCAGCAUGUGUGUUAGUGGAAGCGUCUGGAAAGGCGCGCGAUACAGGGUGACAGCCCCGUACACAAAAGCGCAUGUGUUGUGAGCUCGAUGAGUAGGGCGGGACACGUGGUAUCCUGUCUGAAUAUGGGGGGACCAUCCUCCAAGGCUAAAUACUCCUGACUGACCGAUAGUGAACCAGUACCGUGAGGGAAAGGCGAAAAGAACCCCGGCGAGGGGAGUGAAAAAGAACCUGAAACCGUGUACGUACAAGCAGUGGGAGCACCCUUUGGGGUGUGACUGCGUACCUUUUGUAUAAUGGGUCAGCGACUUAUAUUCUGUAGCAAGGUUAACCGAAUAGGGGAGCCGGAGGGAAACCGAGUCUUAAUUGGGCGUUAAGUUGCAGGGUAUAGACCCGAAACCCGGUGAUCUAGCCAUGGGCAGGUUGAAGGUUGGGUAACACUAACUGGAGGACCGAACCGACUAAUGUUGAAAAAUUAGCGGAUGACCUGUGGCUGGGGGUGAAAGGCCAAUCAAACCGGGAGAUAGCUGGUUCUCCCCGAAAGCUAUUUAGGUAGCGCCUCGUGAAUUCAUCUCCGGGGGUAGAGCACUGUUUCGGCUAGGGGGCCAUCCCGGCUUACCAACCCGAUGCAAACUGCGAAUACCGGAGAAUGUUAUCACGGGAGACACACGGCGGGUGCUAACGUCCGUCGUGAAGAGGGAAACAACCCAGACCGCCAGCUAAGGUCCCAAAGUCAUAGUUAAGUGGGAAACGAUGUGGGAAGGCCCAGACAGCCAGGAUGUUGGCUUAGAAGCAGCCAUCAUUUAAAGAAAGCGUAAUAGCUCACUGGUCGAGUCGGCCUGCGCGGAAGAUGUAACGGGGCUAAACUAUGCACCGAAGCUGCGGCAGCGACACU